UCAGGCUGUUUGCUGAGCUGGAGGCAGAUCACUGGGAACAUUCCAGCCUUGGAACCUUUGGUGAGAAAUGUGCCCAAAAGGCUCCGAUCCUGCAACAAGCCCCCUCUGCUGGUGUGUGUGUGUGUGGGGCGGGGGGGUGGUCACGGGGGCUUCACAUGGACAUCAGCAUCCCCCUGUCCUGGUCCUUAGAGCCUUUGCUGGAGAACAUGAACUAAUCACUGCCUGGCCUGAAAAGCCAGGCCUGAAAACAUGAACUGAUCACUGCCAAUGCAGUACAGCCAGCAGCACAUAAUCAAAAAUCUUGAGGUUGGCUAAAGGAAACUUGAAGGUUUUUCUUCUAAAAAAUUACAUUCUGGCGUUUUCGUUUGUUUCUGAGCGUUCAUGAUUCACUCUGGUCACGUUCUCAACCUUUGCUGCUCCGCCUUGAGAGCAAGAAACUGACCUUUGUUAAAGUGAGAGCUGAGAUUGUCACAUAAUCACAGGAUUCCAGGAGCUGGGGUGUUACGAGAAACACCAGCUAGUGAAAGAGUCAAUGUGAAAUGAGGAAAGUUUGUGACAACCCCAAUGUGAUGUUUUUGUGAUUUGAUGUGGACAGAAAACAGCUGCACCUCUAGCGAUUGCAGGUCCUUACCUGGCCCCCAUCACUGCACUGUCUGAGCACCUCACAAACGCCAGUGAACUUAGCCUCACCAUACUGCUGUGCACAGAUGACCCAUACCUGCUGACGGCGUGGGGGGUGGGGGGCGCAGAGUGAGGGCAGCACCUUCAGCUGAUGUUACUGAGCAUGUUCGGUCUGUGAGAGCAUGGUCACUACAAGCCAAGCAGCAAAUCUGGGGGACACCCAUGUGCCCCCCUGCCCCCCCCAACACAGUGCCUCUGCGGCUGUGAGAUGGGGAGGGGCUGUUUCCCCCAUUUUAGAAGAGGGGAAAUUCAGGCCCAGACACAAUAAGUGACUUGCCUGACUUCACACAGAUCAGGGAAACGAACCUGGGUCUGCUCAGGGUAACUUAGCACCUUCGCUACUGGGCAAACUUUUUCCUCUGCAGCCGGAACCUGGGAGAAGAGGAUAAGGAGACGGAUGGACACGCCCAGACACAGGGUUUGUCUGAUAAUCAUCUCACUGACCCUCCCCGCAGCAACUAGGCCAGCCUGUGCAGAGUCAGGUGAUAAUGGUGAUGUCACCAGUCCUUGAUGUGGCCUUUCUCCUUGGCCCAAUUCUGACCCGAUAAUCACUGUGUGGACUGGUUCUGCAGGGGGAAAAUACGAGCCAGAGAUCCUAGUCUGGGUUUUGUCUGACUCUGGGCAGAGGAGUGUCAGGCCGGAGAGAUGGGACAACGGGGCCUGUUCAGCACACACAGCUGGACGUGCUCAAGCCCACAAUGAGCAGCAAUCUGCCCCGCUGCACAGGCUCUUUGCUGCUGGAGCUCCCUGCAAAUGUUUCCCACCAACGCAUUUGCUGCCAUAGAUCUAGAUUCUGACUCGGGUUGUACCAUUGCUCCUUUGACAUGAGCAGUCAGCCAGUGUUGGGGCCUUGCUAGGUUCUUCCAUUGGCAGGAGAAAUUGAUUAUAGGAGCCAGGUAUUUCUUUGAUGCAAUCUUUAUUAUUUACAAAGAAUUUCCACACAUUCGUGUGCCCUGAACACAGUACAAACAAACAGCAGCUGGCAGUUUACUUACUCAGAAAUGCACGUCUGCCUUUCCAGGGAACCCUAUGCCUGAAGCAAGCUCUGUCUCUCCAUGUCCUGCAGGGAUCAAACUCACGACUGCUUCUCUUGGCUUUCUGCCUCACGCACACCAAGCUGCCGGCCAAUCCCUCAGCCCCUCUGUUUCCAGCUAGAUUCAGGGAAACCCAUCUUAGGCUUGGUCUAAACUUAACACUUAGAUCAACCUACUGACGUCACUCAGGGCUGUGAAACAUUGUGUGCUCUGAGUGCCACAGCGAGAUGGACCUAACCUCCGGUGCAGACAAUGGAAUUCUGCCGGUGACCUGGCUGCAGCCUCUCGGAAAGGGGGAUUAACUAGAGAAAUGGAAAAAACAUUUCCAUCAAUGCAGGAUGCAUCUACACUAUGGCACUUCAGUGACACAGCUGUAGCUCUGCUGCCGUAGUGACUGUAGUGUAGACAUACCCUUAUUCUUCCUGAGGCCUGGUCUACACCUACAACUUAGGUUGGCCAAGCUACAUUGCUCAGAGCUGUGAAAACUUUCACACCCUCUGUGACAUAGUUAGGUCAAUCUAACCCCUGAUGUAGAUGCAGAUAGGUCAAGGGAAGAAUUCUUUGUCACCCUAACUACUGUCUUGCCCAGAGAUGGAUUAACUGCACUGAUAGAAAAAACCUUUCUAUAGAUGUAGGAAGUGUCUACCCUAGCCACUCAUUUCUACUGGAUAUUGGGAUGCAUCACACUCCCCAGUCCCUGGCUCUCCCUCUCCCAGGCUCCCUGCUGGCGUGGAGCCUCCAGCUUCUCCCCAAACCCCCAAAUCCCAGUUAAUUAAUUCUGUUUCCCUGCUACCCCUACAUUUGCCUGUCCCCAGCCCAGCUGUUAAUUCUGCCCCAGCAGCCCUCACAUCCCUGUGCUGCAGGGAGGUAGUGGGGAGGAGCUUCCAGGGGUCAUAGAGCUAAGAGGGUUGGGUAGACAGGAGUCCUCCAGGUCAUAGGUACUAGGAUGACUGUGGCUAGAGAAGAAGCAACCUCCAGGGUCAUAGAGACAGCAUGAUAGAAAGUCCACAGGGAUAGGUCAUAGAGACUAGGGCUUGUGAGGGUAGAGAGGCUGAUCUCAGGGGCCCCAGGGGGCUAUUUCCCCCCACCCCCCGGGUCUCAGGGACACAGGCGGAGCCAGGGGCGGAUUCUCUCCCCAGGGACGAGGCCCGGCGUGAAAGUGAAGAUCGGGGCCUCGUCACCAGCAUCGAUAAAUGUCACCUGCCCCCGGCCACAGUCCAGACAAACCCGGAUCCUGCUGGGGGCCCGGCUCUGGGGCAGGGGGGUCCCAGGGGAAGUGAGAGCCUCGUACUGACCCCCCCACCACCCAACGGAAUCCCAGUCUCAUUAUAUUUGGUGUGUUUGUUAAAGCCCCAGUUCCUGGAAGCAUGUGAUGAGGUGAGACUCUCGCCUUUCAUUUUCUAAGCAAUGGCAGUUUCUAGCCCUCUCGCUUGCAGAGAAAAUCUGGAAAAAGUCACUGAAAUGCCGCCUAAAAGUCUGAGCAACCAAAAGGUAAAUAGAAACAAUCAAACAUUUAUUAUUAUUACAUUUCAUGAUUUUGAGGA